AUUGGGGGAAGCUGUAG
rnacentral:sRNA from 1 species